AGAACGAACGCUGGCGGCAUGCCUAACACAUGCAAGUCGAACGAAGCCUUCGGGCUUAGUGGCGCACGGGUGCGUAACACGUGGGAAUCUGCCCUUAGGUACGGAAUAACUCAGGGAAACUUGAGCUAAUACCGUAUGAUGUCUUCGGACCAAAGAUUUAUCGCCUAAGGAUGAGCCCGCGUCGGAUUAGCUAGUUGGUGGGGUAAAGGCCUACCAAGGCGACGAUCCGUAGCUGGUCUGAGAGGAUGAUCAGCCACACUGGGACUGAGACACGGCCCAGACUCCUACGGGAGGCAGCAGUGGGGAAUAUUGGACAAUGGGCGAAAGCCUGAUCCAGCAAUGCGCGUGAGUGAAGAAGGCCUUCGGGUUGUAAAGCUCUUUUACCCGGGAAGAUAAUGACUGUACCGGAGAAUAAGCCCCGGCUAACUCCGUGCCAGCAGCCGC
rnacentral:rRNA from 1 species